CAGCGGAGGGAUCAUUACCGAGUUUACAACUCCCAAACCCCUGUGAACAUACCACUUGUUGCCUCGGCGGAUCAGCCCGCUCCCGGUAAAACGGGACGGCCCGCCAGAGGACCCCUAAACUCUGUUUCUAUAUGUAACUUCUGAGUAAAACCAUAAAUAAAUCAAAACUUUCAACAACGGAUCUCUUGGUUCUGGCAUCGAUGAAGAACGCAGCAAAAUGCGAUAAGUAAUGUGAAUUGCAGAAUUCAGUGAAUCAUCGAAUCUUUGAACGCACAUUGCGCCCGCCAGUAUUCUGGCGGGCAUGCCUGUUCGAGCGUCAUUUCAACCCUCAAGCACAGCUUGGUGUUGGGACUCGCGUUAAUUCGCGUUCCCCAAAUUGAUUGGCGGUCACGUCGAGCUUCCAUAGCGUAGUAGUAAAACCCUCGUUACUGGUAAUCGUCGCGGCCACGCCGUUAAACCCCAACUUCUGAAUGUUGACCUCGGAUCAGGUAGGAAUACCCGCUGAACUUAAGCAUAUCAAUAAGCGGAGGAA
rnacentral:rRNA from 1 species